rnacentral:rRNA from 1 species
GGGGAUGACGUCAAGUCAUCAUGGCCCUUACGGCCAGGGCUACACACGUGCUACAAUGGUCGGUACAAAGGGUUGCCAAGCCGCGAGGUGGAGCUAAUCCCAUAAAACCGAUCGUAGUCCGGAUCGCAGUCUGCAACUCGACUGCGUGAAGUCGGAAUCGCUAGUAAUCGUGAAUCAGAAUGUCACGGUGAAUACGUUCCCGGGCCUU